AUUCCAGCUCCAAUAGCGUAUAUUAAAGUUGUUGCGGUUAAAAAGCUCGUAGUUGGAUUUCUGCCGAGGACGACCAGUCCGCCCACUGGGUGAGCAUCUGGCUCAGCCUUAGCAUCUUCUUGGAGAACGUAUCUGCACUUCAUUGUGUGGUGCGGUAACCAGGACUUUUACUUUGAGGAAAUUAGAGUGUUUCAAGCAGGCGUGCGCCUUGAAUACAUUAGCAUGGAAUAAUAAGAUAGGACCUUGGUUCUAUUUUGUUGGUUUCUAGAGCUGAGGUAAUGAUUAAUAGGGAUAGUUGGGGGCAUUCGUAUUUAACUGUCAGAGGUGAAAUUCUUGGAUUUGUUAGAGACGGACUACUGCGAAAGCAUUCACCAAGGAUGUCUUCAUUA
rnacentral:rRNA from 1 species